CCAGCCUGACUUCUUCUGAUGAUGUGUUAUUUCACAUCCAUUUUUUUCCUGUCAAAUUUUCUUAUAAUCCUGAUAAAUAAUUUUGAGGUCAUCCACCCUAAAAUGUAAAAAUCUUCAUGAUAAUUUUCAACCUGUGAACUGUUUCAAACUGGUGCAAUUCUUCAAAUUCCUGGCUUGAAAUUUUUGUUUUUCAGUAUUUCAUAGUAGUGUUUAGAAGGUCUUGGACUGAUGCAUUCUUGCAAUACAGGGAAUUAUGUAGUGUAAGACCAGCUCUUGUAUGUGUCCACCCAAUCAUUAGCAAAAAUCCAGUCUGGAAUAGCUUGAAUGACUUCUUUGAGGAAAGGUGAAGAUGACUCUUUACCGUGAAUAUAAUGAGCUGCCACAGCAAAGUCCAACAAAUUGCUCUUGGCCGGGAGGUGUCUUUUUGGCUGAAAUGAUAUUUAAAUUAAAAGAAUCUUGGGAUAUAUUAGCCUGAGAGCAAGUGCUUGCUAUCAGCACUGCAGGACCCACGUUUCUCUGCCCAAGGAAUACUUGAGACAGGUCAGGGAGGGGGUUCACCAGGGCUCAAGUCAAGUCACCCAAAAGUCAUGUUGCUCAAAACCAGAGUCAAGUUGCCUGAAACUUUUAGUCUUGUUGCCAGAAAUCCUGAGUCAUGUCUCACGAGGAAACAAAUACUGAAAAGAUCUAACUGACAGACUCUAAAUGGGUAAUGAAGUUGAGAAAUCUUUAUCAAUAAAGCGCUGUUUGUUCCUAAUAAUACCAUGAAGAUGAUGAUCAGAAAAGAAAUAUGUUCUAGUGAUGACAACAAAAUGAAGCAUUGUUCAUUUGAUAUGAACUUGUUUUGAACUCACAAACGUUUUGUGAAUUUGAGAAAUCUUUAUCACUUAUGCAGUGUUCAUUUCCACCAAAACCAUGAAGACUUUGACUAGUACACAGAAAGCAAUCAUUUAGUCAGAACUGAAAUAUGUUUGAGUAAUGACCCUAAAAGCAUUGUUUGUUUUUGUAACAACAAUAUGAAGCAUUCUUCAUUUCUAUAACGACAAAAUGAAGUCUUGCACUUUUUAAAGGGUGUACAUUUCUACAAAACUGUGGUGCUGUGUUACUCAAGGCCUCAUAUUUUCCUGCAGGUGAAGAAACACUUGUGCCAAAGCACCUAUAAUAAGGACCUGCUUACAGACUAAGGUUAUCAAUUUUCAAACACCAGAUACUAAUACCGGUAGUUUAUUUUGUUAUUGUAUAAUCUAACUGACAGAAAACACUACAAUCCUACAAACUUAAUAUUUUAUUAAACAGCAAGUGAUGUUCUUGACAAGGAGCAACUCCUCAAAGCAGUAAAAUACUUAUCAUUAAUAAACUUAAUUAAGCCCACCACAGUCUAAAUCCUAGCUCACCACUGACACAAUCUCACUGCUGUCUCCACAGUUCCUUGAAAUAAGUGAUCUUCAGCAGUAACUCUCUCUCAGUAUAGCUUUCUAUACAGUCGUUGCUCCAACAACAACAACUACCCCAACUACCACAUAAGUGAGUCUUUAUAUAUAUAUAUAUAUACAAAAUGUUCUGGAACAUUUCAGAAGCUUACAAAGUCAGACGACCGCAAGGCAGGAGUCUGAUUUGUUAAUCACGAGUAUGAUUAAUACUGUAAUUGUCCAACUCACCAGAAGCUCAAGCGAUAGUUCCCAGGGCCCCACAUCAGUACCAUGAGAAUAGUAAAUAAAGUACACAACUCUGUCUCCACCAUCUUGAAUUGGUAAAAGGGGACCAAGGGAAGAGGUCAGCAAAUCUACGUCACUAGCAGGUGAUACAUAUACAGCCAUGUGAUCAGGACCUAAGGCAGUUAGAAGUCAGACACUGCUUUGUUAUCAAGUAGCCAUGAAAGUGCUCCUUAAACAUUCAAGGAUAGUGAAUUGGCCAUGCAAUGAAUAACCAGAGACCAAUCGAAGAACAUUGAAUGAGCAAGUACCACAUACCGCACAAGAUGCCUCAAUGGCAAGUAAUAAGGAAAACCUCCAUAAACUCCGUCCUGAGGUGCAGGCAAAGCCUUUUUAAACAUGGGUAUAUCACUGAAUGGCUGUAUGCCAAGAUAGUCUAGUGGAGUGAUCCAGGCACCUGCAUCUUGUUGAACCACUUCACCAGCAUUAUUGUAAAAUGUUCUUGAUGUGUGCUGCAUGUAGAAAAAAUGUUGAUGAGAGGUUUAACUGAAAAACAUCUUUUGGAUGGCGUCAUCAAUGGUGUGAACAUACCCACUAUUUAAUGGUCUAAUAAAUGGUUGUGAAAAUGUGCACUCCAGUGUGAAUUUAGAACCCUCCAAAAAGUAAUAAUCUAUGCUGAAAGCUUGAACAAUUAAAAUGCAA